AGAGUUUGAUCCUGGCUCAGGACGAACGCUGGCGGCGUGCUUAACACAUGCAAGUCGAGCGGAAAGGCCCUUCGGGGUACUCGAGCGGCGAACGGGUGAGUAACACGUGAGCAACCUGCCCUUAGCUCUGGGAUAGCUCCGGGAAACCGGAAUUAAUACCGGAUGUUACAACGGCCGACAUCGGCUGUUGUGGAAAGAUUUAUCGGCUAAGGAUGGACUCGCGGCCUAUCAGCUAGUUGGUGGGGUAACGGCCUACCAAGGCGACGACGGGUAGCCGGCCUGAGAGGGCGACCGGCCACACUGGGACUGAGACACGGCCCAGACUCCUACGGGAGGCAGCAGUGGGGAAUCUUGCGCAAUGGGCGAAAGCCUGACGCAGCGACGCCGCGUGGGGGAUGAAGGCCUUCGGGUUGUAAACCCCUUUCAGCAGGGACGAAGCGAAAGUGACGGUACCUGCAGAAGAAGCGCCGGCUAACUACGUGCCAGCAGCCGCGGUAACGCGUAGGGCGCAAGCGUUGUCCGGAAUUAUUGGGCGUAAAGAGCUCGUAGGCGGACUGUCACGUCUGCUGUGAAAAGCUGGGGCUUAACCCUGGCCUUGCAGUGGAUACGGGCAGGCUGGAGGCAGGCAGGGGAGAACGGAAUUCCCGGUGUAGCGGUGAAAUGCGCAGAUAUCGGGAGGAACACCGGUGGCGAAGGCGGUUCUCUGGGCCUUACCUGACGCUGAGGAGCGAAAGCGUGGGGAGCGAACAGGAUUAGAUACCCUGGUAGUCCACGCUGUAAACGUUGGGCGCUAGGUGUGGGAUCCUUCCACGGAUUCCGUGCCGUAGCUAACGCAUUAAGUGCCCCGCCUGGGGAGUACGGCCGCAAGGCUAAAACUUAAAGGAAUUGACGG
rnacentral:rRNA from 1 species